GUAUUUGAUAUGAAGAGGAAUAGUAUCCACAAAUUGAUUUCAGAAAGCUGUUGGAUGAUGCAAAACAGUAUGAGAAAUGUGGUGAACUCGCCUUGGAGCUUCUGGCUGAAAUACUAGUAGGUCAUGACGGACGUCCUCCGUUAUCGGGAUAGGCAUUAGUAGUGCCGAUGAGUGUAUGUUGAUCAUAAAAUAGAGUGGUACCGCGGGAGCUUGUCUUUCGUCUCUAUA
rnacentral:ncRNA from 1 species